AUGCAGAAAGGAACGGCAAGCUCCCCAGUGGCCCUGUCCCUCCCCUUAUUUAAGCACAUUGAACUUCUCUAUAAGNUGGGACCACUCACUCACUUUAGAAAAAAACAUUCCUAUUCUAUGGCAGAAGAAAUGCUGAUGGCCCACAUGAUACUGUGGGCCCCAACGGUGACUCUACAUACAAAGCUGUCCCUGAAUGCUGAAGCGGAGGCUAAGGGCUGUGCAGAGCAGGUACCCACUGUUCUAAAAGACAACAAACAAGAUGGUGAGAUUCUUGCCUUCAAGCGACUUGUCUUUCAAUGAUUUUUCUACACACCGAGCUUGGUUUCCUAACAAGGAUCUCCAGUGUUUAAGAUGGUACGUGACACACAAAAAGCAUCAGUACUUGUGUGGUGAAUACACGUGUCUAGGAAACCUCUUGUGACCCUCCUCUCAUCUUGUGCCUCUUAUUUUUCCCUGCUGUCGCUGUGGUAGAGCUCCUUGGCCUGGCAGCCCCAUAGGGCUUGUGUCCCCGCCCCCCCGGGAUCCCUGCCAUGAAGCCUGGAAGACCGGCCAUGACACUGGAAGCUCUUGAAACACAAUAGUUCUUCUGAUGCUUACUGGACAGUGGGAGGUAGGCUCUAUACUGCUCUGGGUUGUGUUCCCAAUGGAGCGAGACAGUUGUCCCACGGUGACUGGGACAUGUCACUCUCUGACUCUAACCACUUUAUCUGAAAGCCAUCAAGCAGCUCCCUUUCCUUGAUUUCUCUGCCUGCAAGAAAGUGGCAGAGAUAGAGGGCCCAGGUUAGACUAGAACCUACAGACCAGUGGAGGAAAGCAAUAAUAAUUCAAAGACGUGAAAUUUAAAUAAUUAUAGGUGAAGUGGUACUUCAAAAAAUAACAUUUUUAAUUUAUUCUCUAAAAAAUGUAUACAUGUAUACAAUGUAUUUUGAUCAUAUCUAUCCCUUGUUUCCCACCUCCUCCUCAUAGGCCUUCUCAGGAGUUUACUUUUUUGUUUUAUUUUGUUGUUGCUGCUGUUGUUUUUUUGAGUCAAGAGUCUUACUGUGUAGUCCUAGCUGGCCUAGAACUUAUUUUACGAACCACUUGGUCUCGAACUCACAGAGAUUCACCUGCCUCUGCCUCCCAAGUGCCGCGAUUAAAGGUGUGAGCCACCAGCCUCACCAGGUACUGACUUUUUUUUUGUUUGUUUGUUUUUUGUUUUUCGAGACAGGGUUUCUCCAUGUAGCUUUGGAGCCUAUCGUGGCACUCACUCUGGAGACCAGGCUGGCCUCGACCUCAC
rnacentral:lncRNA from 1 species